rnacentral:rRNA from 1 species
UACAGAGGGGGCGAGCGUUGUUCGGAAUUACUGGGCGUAAAGGGCGCGUAGGCGGCCUCUUAAGUCGAACGUGAAAUCCCCGGGCUCAACCCGGGAACUGCGUCCGAUACUGGAUGGCUUGGAUUUGGGAGAGGGAUGCGGAAUUCCAGGUGUAGCGGUGAAAUGCGUAGAUAUCUGGAGGAACACCGGUGGCGAAGGCGGCAUCCUGGACCAACAUUGACGCUGAGGAGCGAAAGCCAGGGGAGCAAACGGG